AUUGAACGCUGGCGGCAGGCCUAACACAUGCAAGUCGAGCGAGCGGCGGACGGGUGAGUAAUGUAUGGGGACUGCCCGAUAGAGGGGGAUAACUACUGGAAACGGUGGCUAAUACCGCAUACUAUCGGAUAACCCAGAUGGGAUUAGCUAGUAGGUGGGGUAAAGGCUCACCUAGGCGACGAUCUCUAGCUGGUCUGAGAGGAUGAUCAGCAACAGUGGGGCUGAGAUACGGCCCAGACUCCGACGGAGGCAGCAGUGGGGAAUAUUGCACAAUGGGCGCAAGCCUGAUACAGCCAUGCCGCGUGUAGGAAGAAGGCCUGAGGGGUGUAAAGUACUUUCAGCGGGGAGGCGUUACCCGCAGAAGAAGCACCGGCUAACUCCGUGCCAGCAGCCGCGGUAAUAC
rnacentral:rRNA from 1 species